rnacentral:rRNA from 1 species
CAAUAGCGUAUAUUAAAGUUGUUGCAGUUAAAAAGCUCGUAGUUGGAUUUCUGUUCUCGGGGAUUGGUCCGCCUCACGGUGAGCACUGGUAUCCUGGGGACAUCCUCUCGAAGGCGGGUGGUGCACUUAAUUGUGUGCUGCUUGGAUUCGGGACCUUUACUUUGAAAAAAUUAGAGUGUUCAAAGCAGGCGUCGGCUUGAAUACAUUAGCAUGGAAUAAUGGAAUAGGACUUUGGUUCUAUUUUGUUGGUUUCUAGGACCGAAGUAAUGAUUAAUAGGGAUAGUUGGGGGUGCUAGUAUUGAGCGGCCAGAGGUGAAAUUCUUGGAUUCGCUCAAGACUAACUUAUGCGAAAGCAUUCACCAAGGAUGUCUUCUUUAAUCAAGAACGAAAGUUGGGGGAGUCGAAGAUGAUUAGAUACCAU